rnacentral:pre_miRNA from 1 species
AGACACCCUUAUGGGUCAAAGACUUGCUUCAGUGGGGCUUUGGUGCUCACUGAGUCUUCCCCCUGAGUGUGUCCCU